UCCCUGGUAGCUCAGAUGGUAAAGCAUCUGCCUACAAUGUGGGAGACCCAGGUUUGAUCCCUGGGUUGGGAA
rnacentral:tRNA from 1 species